GAGACCUGAUAUAGAUAAUCAAGGUUUGUGCAAUGAGUUGGCUUGCUACUGUAUAGAACUUGGAGAACAGCCUAUUGCAAAUCCCUCUGUCAGACUUAAACUGUGCUGUCCAGUUAGCUGAAUUUGGACUUUUCAGUAUUUAUACUCUACUUUAGCGCAUCACAACUUUUUAUUUGAAUAUUUCCAACCUAUGGGCGUUAUACCAAAGUGAAAGAACUAUGCUUAGGGAGUAAAUUUAGUUAAGGGAGAUGGGCCUGUUGCUAAGAGAAUUUGUGACAUAAAAGGGGAUCAAACAGAGAGCUGGGCAAUGGGCAGUGUGGCUGAUUCAGUGGAUUCAGAAGAUUGAAACUGUGUUUCAGUGAAGUAUAGCCGUUCAGAGGUUCCAAAUAUCUGAAGGAAAAAUUACCUUUCUCCAUGUGCUGGCCGAUGGCCUUUAUCCCCUAGCCGUUUCUCCUUAUCCCCUCCCUGCCACACAUUUUCUAUUAUCCUUAGGUCGACCAAAUCCUUAGAAUGCUCCUGUUCUUAUCCAGUUGAGGUCUAGAAGCUUACUCAUGUACGCUCCUUCUCAUGCAAGAAGACGUACUCAAUUUCUACUCUCUUCUAUCAGUCUCCUCACUCCUGUCUCUCAUGUCUCCUUUUCCUCCCACCGUUCCUGUCACCCACGCAGCACGCCGGAGCAGCUGUAGCAGUCGAGCUCGACAUCAGCUCCCUUGCUGCUCACUUUGCAGCACCUCGCCAGCUCCCUGGUAACACUCUGCACCUGCCGUCGAACUCUCUCAGGUUCGGUCAUCCCUGCUCCCUUCCAAAUCAACGCCCCUCCACUCGACUCUACUACUGUGUCGUGCGCGCGCUUCCUCCUGCUUCCGUCGCUGGGUGCGUGCUCAUCUUCCGUCGCGUGCCACCUGGUCGAUAGAAUGAGCAGUUUGGUCGUCCCCAUCUCGCCGUGGUUCGUCCUCACCAUGUUUUCAGAUGUGUUUGGGCUGAGAUGCCAUUCGAAAUCGAUGAUCUGUUCGUCGCCACCGGCCGCAAGCACCAGUUUUGUUGAACGUGAGAACGUCUUAAUCUGUUGAUAUGAGUUGAAAAUUGAUGUAUCGAUCUGUGGUUUGACCUAGUGUUCUCGUCAUGUCUAUGUUCUGGUCGAGGCCCUAGAUACGUGAUUGAAGAUCCUUUGUGGUGAUGAAGGUGAAAUCAGCAUAGCACUCGCCAAGCAUUCUACAGAAGAGCCCUCAACAGAAGGAGUGAAGAUUCAAGAUGAAGUGGUAGCUGAAGAGGAGUUUGCUCUAGUGCCUGUUCAUCAAGUGGAUGUAGCCAUCUAACUGAUCAUCAUGGUAGAAGUAUCUAGAACCUCUUCUCUGCAACAAAGGCAAGCCCCGGUGCAUUUGCCCCUUCCUUGUGUUUUAAAUGCUUUAUCACCUUAAAUGAUGCAUUAGGUGAUAGGAGUUGUGUGAUGAACAAUUGAUGCAUUACCAUUCCUUGGAAUUUGAAUACUAUACCUUGAUCCCUGAUUUAUAAAAAGAACUGAUAAUGCUUAACCCUGCUUAGAAACUGAAAAAUCAUUUGUUUUCAAAAAGAAUGAUUGUGGAACAUUGGUUAUGGGCUUUUUGAUUCAAAAAUCAAAGCAAACUAAGGUGAUGACUCCACUUCGGCCGGAGUGGGCUCAUCAUUGGAAAAGAGUACCCCUGCCGGGUACCAAAAAUGGGGAAAUGGUUAAUAAAUCUAGACCAGGCGCUGAGCAGACAGAGUCGCCCGUCUAUGUCGAUCAAGGACCGUACCGUUGACUGGCCUGUUGUGGUUGAGACUUUGCAACUAGCCACAUACCCUGGUAUGGGACAGGGUAAGCUUGAACCCGGCUAUUCCAUACGUAAAGAGACAAUCGCGCACUGGGAGUGGAGAGAUGGUGGGAGUAGCAUGUACCCUCCUGGCAUAGUAGCACGCUUGAUAGGAUAAUGUGCUCUCGGGUGGCGCGGACCUGUUCAUGUAGUGGAGGACUCCGUGGGAACGGUUGACAUAUGCAAGGGUUAAGUGCUACAUAUGUCGUGUGGUUAGAGAUCCCCAGCUGGGUAUAAUCGGUUCGAAUCGUCGUUGCUCCUCGGUUAUGGAGACUCAUCCCGGUGACCAUCAUCGUAGUUAGCAAGUGAAAUAUGAGAAUGAAUAAAAUGGAGCUAGUAUAGGCCAAGUGCUUGAACUAGAUCAGGCAAAUAUAGAUUCAGGUAAUAACCUAACUAGUGAAAUAAAACUUAGCUUAAGGAUCAACUGGUAGCAAGCUUUUCUGCAAAAAAGGAGUCUUUGAUCAUUGAUAAACUUUACCUUGACUCCCAAUCAGCUAGCAUACCCUUGAGAGUCUUUUCUUUAGUCGGGUAAGUCUUGCUGAGUAAUUGCGUACUCAGGGUUUUAUCCCCUGUUGUUUUUGGAGGAGAAGUUUUAUUCCCUUAUCUUUUGGUUAGUUACUUCAUGUGGAGGCCUUGAAGCUUAGAAUGUUUAUGUGUAUCUCUUAUGGAAAGGCUUCACCCUUCCUAUUAUUGUAAUAAAUUAUGCACUUUGGGUACUAUCAGGACUUGUAAUAAAUACAUCUCUUUCUACCUUGUAAAACUUGAGUUCUGAAA